GAGUUUGAUCCUGGCUCAGGAUGAACGCUAGCGAUAGGCUUAACACAUGCAAGUCGAGGGGCAGCACAUGAGUGGUAACACGAUGGUGGCGACCGGCGCACGGGUGAGUAACACGUAUGCAACCUACCCAUAACUGGAGAAUAACCCGUCGAAAGGCGGACUAAUACUGCAUAACAACAUUUCCCCGCAUGAGGAAUUGUUUAAAGAUUAAUCGGUUAUGGAUGGGCAUGCGUUCCAUUAGAUUGUUGGUGAGGUAACGGCUCACCAAGUCUUCGAUGGAUAGGGGUUCUGAGAGGAAGGUCCCCCACAUUGGUACUGAGACACGGACCAAACUCCUACGGGAGGCAGCAGUGAGGAAUAUUGGUCAAUGGGCGAGAGCCUGAACCAGCCAAAUCGCGUGAAGGAUGAAGGUAUUAUGUAUUGUAAACUUCUUUUGUCAGGGAAUAAAGUGCGGGACGUGUCCCGUUUUGUAAGUACCUGAAGAAUAAGGAUCGGCUAACUCCGUGCCAGCAGCCGCGGUAAUACGGAGGAUCCAAGCGUUAUCCGGAUUUAUUGGGUUUAAAGGGUGCGUAGGUGGGCUUGUAAGUCAGCGGUGAAAGUUCUCGGCUCAACCGGGGAAUUGCCGUUGAAACUGUAGGCCUUGAGUAUAGAUGAGGUGGGCGGAAUUCGUAGUGUAGCGGUGAAAUGCUUAGAUAUUACGAAGAACUCCAAUUGCGAAGGCAGCUCACUGGGCUAUAACUGACGCUGAGGCACGAAGGUGCGGGGAUCAAACAGGAUUAGAUACCCUGGUAGUCCGCACAGUAAAACGAUGAAUACUAACUGUUUGCGAUACACCGCAAGUGGUACAGUGAAAACGUUAAGUAUUCCACCUGGGGAGUACGCCGGCAACGGUGAAACUCAAAGGAAUUGACGGGGGCCCGCACAAGCGGAGGAACAUGUGGUUUAAUUCGAUGAUACGCGAGGAACUUACCCGGGCUUGAAUUUGCAUUUGAUAUGGCGGGAACGUUA
rnacentral:rRNA from 1 species